GGCGGGCCGCAAGUGCCUCGACAGUCGAUCAUCGUAUGCUGUCGUGUGACGCUUCUCCCCGUC
rfam:Pseudomonas knackmussii B13 complete genome